ACUCCUACGGGAGGCAGCAGUGGGGAAUAUUGGACAAUGGGCGCAAGCCUGAUCCAGCCAUGCCGCGUGAGUGAUGAAGGCCCUAGGGUUGUAAAGCUCUUCACCGGUGAAGAUAAUGACGGUAACCGGAGAAGA
rnacentral:rRNA from 1 species